AUGAACGCUGGCGGCGUGCCUAAUACAUGCAAGUCGAGCGAACGGACGAGAAGCUUGCUUCUCUGAUGUUAGCGGCGGACGGGUGAGUAACACGUGGAUAACCUACCUAUAAGACUGGGAUAACUUCGGGAAACCGUAGCUAAUACCGGAUAAUAUUUUGAACCGCAUGGUUCAAAAGUGAAUGACGGUCUUGCUGUCACUUAUAGAUGGAUCCGCGCUGCAUUAGCUAGUUGGUAAGGUAACGGCUUACCAAGGCAACGAUGCAUAGCCGACCUGAGAGGGUGAUCGGCCACACUGGAACUGAGACACGGUCCAGACUCCUACGGGAGGCAGCAGUAGGGAAUCUUCCGCAAUGGGCGAAAGCCUGACGGAGCAACGCCGCGCGAGUGAUGAAGGUCUUCGGAUCGUAAAACUCUGUUAUUAGGGAAGAACAUAUGUGUAAGUAACUGUGCACAUCUUGACGGUACCUAAUCAGAAAGCCACGGCUAACUACGUG
rnacentral:rRNA from 1 species